GCCCCAAUAGCAUAGUUUUGGUUAAUGCGUUCCCUUCGUAAGGAUCUAGGGAGAGAUCGGGCGUUCGAAUCGCCCUUGGGGCU